rnacentral:rRNA from 1 species
AAUUAUUUAUUUGAUGGUUUCUUACUACAUGGAUAACUGUAGUAAUUCUAGAGCUAAUACAUGCGUAAAAUCUCGACUCUUGCGGGGAGAGAUGUAUUUAUUAGAUAAAAAACCAAUGCGGGUUCUGCCCGGUUUUGUGGUGAAUCAUAGUAACUUUUCGAAGCGCAUGGCUUCACGCCAGCGCUAGUUCAUUCAAAUUUCUGCCCUAUCAGCUUUCGACGGUAGUGUAGUGGACUACCGUGGCAUUAACGGGUAACGGAGAAUUAGGGUUCGAUUCCGGAGAGGGAGCCUGAGAAACGGCUACCACA